CCAGCCCCGACUCGCACGCCCACCCCCGUCCUCCUUCCCUUCCACUGAGGCCGCAGCCGCCUCCUCCCCUCCGCAGCCCUCCUCUGCCACGCCUCAGCCAGCCUCGCCCGCGAACCUUCUCCGGCCAUCCUCAGCCCGCCUCGCCCGCGCGCGCUCGCCACCCCCGCGCCGUCCGCCGUCGCGCCCGUGCGAGCCCGAGCCAUCUCCAUGCCGCUACCCCGUCGUCCUCCGUCCGCCGUCCUCCCUCGCGAGCCCCCGCUGUCCACCGUCGCGACUGGGACCCCGACAUCUCGCCCUCCCUGUGAUCUCCCCCCCUCCCCAUCGAUGUUAGCAAUUCCGGCCCCCUUCGAGGUUACCAAUUUCCGACCCCGUCAACCAUCAAUUUCGUGGUUCAAUUGGCCCAUCCGCCUCUGACCCCCGCGGCCGCGCCUCUGCCCCUACAGGCGCCGCCACCGAUUCGUCCAGGCCCGACGCCGAGUCCUCUCGCCCCGCCGCUGCCGCCCCACUUCUCUGUCGUCCCCGUCCGUUUUGAUACCUAGUGAGUCCAAACGUGUUGAACAUAUCACUAUCGAAGAUGCUUGCUGAACAUAUGCACUUCUAUUAUUGAUUGAAGAGGUGAUCACCUUUUUUGGGUCAACCUGUCUCUAUAAAAAAAACAGUAUAGGUGGAUCAAAUUUAAUCAAUACAUUGUUGGCUCAUUUUUCAAUUUUAGUGUAGAACAGCAUAAUAGAGUUUGAGUUAUUCAAGAUGCGUCUACUAUUGCAGGGGACCAAUCAAAUUAGGUUGAAGCUUAGCUAGGCCUGCACAGGAAUACUACACACGAACACAUAUGUUUUCGAAAUAUAAUCAGGAAGCAGUAGGUAGAUUUGUUGUUGCAAUGAGUUUUUUUUUUGGUUGAUUUCUGGAGUACCAGAGAAGUUACAAGGACAAUGCUUUUCCUUAAUUUAACAAUAUCCACUCAAGAUUUACUAUUACUAAUCCAUGAUUGUUUUGAAAUCUUUCCUUCAAUGGUUAACAAGUGGUUGUCAUAGUUAAGACUUAGAGUGAACAAAUGUAAAUCUGAGGUGAAAAAUAGGUGAUUCUCAUUUUCUGAUGGCACCAUCUUACCAGCAGCAGUGAAAAUACUUGUACAUAUUGGUACAUUUUGGGAUUCUGGAGCUUCAGGAGCAAUGCUAAGUUUAUGUGAAGAAACAUGUAGAUUUUUGGGAGAAAAGUGUAUGAAGAAUGACUUGUUUCUAAAGAACCGACGGCGUUCGAGUGAGCCGGUCAUCCCUAGCUGGUUGGCCUAACCAUAUAGCAAUAGGUUUGUUAGCUUUGUAAUGGUGUACCGGCACCAAUACCCUCUACUUUUAUUACCUAUGGGUUUGCUAGCUUUGCGGUCACCAAUUGCCCUCUACUUUUAUCUAGCUUUGCCAACAGGCAACAAAUUUUUAUGCAGCUUCAAAUUUUUGUCUCCCUUAGCUGCAUUGGAAACACAAGGGCACUAUAACAAAAGAGGUAAUCUUUUUCUUCCUAAUCACAAAUUUUUAUGCAGCUUCAAAUUAUUGUCUCUUGUAUGUUGUUACUCGAGGCAUAUCGUUGUGUGGUGGAUAAUCUCAUGACCCAGAGAGUUAAACAGGCAAGCAUUAUGACCACCAAAAAUUUAUCUUUGUUAAAAAUUGUUGCCAAUUCUUUAUUGAUGUUGUUAAUUUAACUCUCUUUUUUGUGGGGCUUUUAAUUUAACUCUUUUUUUUAUGGGGCUUUUAAUUUAACUCUUUUUUUUGUGGGGCUUUUAAUUUUAACUCUCUUUGUCUGUUUUUAUUAUUGACAUGUGCCCUCAAUUUCUGCAUGUUGCAAUUAGACUACUUGCGUGCAGUGGGCAAGUUUAUCUCUGCACUUGUGCAACUCUAGCUGACACAGUGCCAUGCUCUCUCAAGGGUAGAAAACAGACCAUGCAGAAUUCCUCUCCCAGUGCUGGAAAAAGGCAGCAAAGUGAUCCAUAUUAUUUACUGGAAUCCGGGGACAAGACACGGUAAAAUGAUAGAGUUCUCUUUAAGUUUCUGCGUGUCUUCAGAUUUCGACUUUGAAAAAGAAAAUGGUGUUUCAUCUUUAAAGCUUAUUUUUCAGGUACCUCCAACUAUCAAGUUUGUAUUAGACGGAGAAAUGACACCUUAUUUACUUGUGAUGGAUCUGAUUUUACAAGCCAGAAAAUAAUCUUGGUUAUGCUAACGUUUCUCUUCUCCUCGGUAUUUACUCACUGUAACUGGGGAUGUCUCAUCCUAGGUGAUAUCUCUUUACAGGUUAUUGGCAAGAAAUCUGCAGCUGGUGCAACAUACAAAUCAAUGGAGUUAGUUAAGCUGCUGGAUGUUUGUGAUGAGGAGCAGAGGCUGAGGAUCAUCGUUGUACUGACUGAGGACCCUGUGAAGCUGGUGAAAAUCUCCCUAAAAACCCAUGGGCACCACUUCUAGCAUGACAUGAUGAACAGGGCUUUUCUAAUGAUGGCUACAUAGUAGCUAAUUGCUACGGUGAAACGCUACAUUAUCCAAUACCGACAGCGAGUAUUUUCACAUGCUCAUUUGUACCAACUUUGCACAUAAUUUUUUUAUGACGCAGUUGUAGGACGGUUUCAAGCUCAGACAACGAUUUUUGGUACAUAUUUUGAAGUACAAAUUCAACGAAGUUGUAAAUAAUAUCUCAUAUCAACAAGGUAUACCUUCUUUUUCGGGAGACCAUCCGAAAGGAACCUCAAAGAUAAGCAUGCUUGGCUAAGAGCAAUUUGAGGAUAGGUGACUGAUCGGAAAGUUUCUCCCAGGGUGUGCUUGGCCAAGGGCAAUUUGAGAAUGGGUGACUAAUCGAAAAGUUUCUCCCAUGAGCGCAUGAGUGAACACAAAGUGCGCUAGAAAGACAUGUGUUGGUAUGUGGGGCCAAUCUAGAAGCUUAGAGAGCUGCCAGGAGUGACGAUGUGGCGUUACAUUGAAUACUUGUAUUUUAAGUAUUGCUUCCAAUUUA